ACAUGUCUUUUUGGUUAUUUAAUAUAAAGUCUGACCUGCCCACUGAAUAAUUUUAAAGGGCCGCAGUAUUUUGACUGUGCAAAGGUAGCAUAAUCAUUAGUCUUUUAAUUGAAGGCUGGUAUGAAUGGUUGGAUGAGAUACAAGCUGUGUCAUAAAAAUUAAUAUUUGAAUUUACCUUUUUAGUCAAAAGGCUAAAAUAAUAUUAAAAGACGAGAAGACCCUAUAGAGCUUUAUAUAACUUAUAUUUAGAUUAUUAGUAUUUUUUAAAUUUAAUUAUUUUGUUAUAUUUUGUUGGGGUGACAAUAAAAUUUAUAAAACUUUUAUUAUUAUUUUUCAUUAAUUUAUGUUUAAAUGAUCCAGUUUUAUUGAUUAUAAAUUUAAGUUACCUUAGGGAUAACAGCGUAAUUUUUUUUGAGAGUUCUUAUCGACAAAAAAGAUUGCGACCUCGAUGUUGGAUUAAGAGUAAUUUUGGGUGUAGAAGUUCAAAGUUUAAGUCUGUUCGACUUUUAAAUUCUUACAUGAUC
rnacentral:rRNA from 2 species